rnacentral:rRNA from 1 species
GCUUCUUCUGCAGGUACCGUCAUUAUCUUCCCGGCCGAAAGAGCUUUACUACCCUAAGGCCUUCAUCACUCACGCGGCAUGGCUGGAUCAGGCUUGCCCCCAUUGUCCAAUAUUCCCCACUGCUGCCUCCCGUAGG